rnacentral:tRNA from 1 species
GCGCCCGUAGCUUAAUGGAUAGAGCACCUCGCUUCGGACGAGGCGGUUGGAAGUUCGACUCUUCCCGGGCGCG